rnacentral:rRNA from 1 species
AAGCCGAGCGGUAUUGUUUCUUCGGAAAUGAGAGAGCGGCGUACGGGUGCGGAACACGUGUGCAACCUGCCUUUAUCUGGGGGAUAGCCUUUCGAAAGGAAGAUUAAUACUCCAUAACAUAUUGAACGGCAUCGUUUAAUAUUGAAAGCUCCGGCGGAUAGAGAUGGGCACGCGCAAGAUUAGCUAGUUGGUGAGGUAACGGCUCACCAAGGCGAUGAUCUUUAGGGGGCCUGAGAGGGUGAUCCCCCACACUGGUACUGAGACACGGACCAGACUCCUACGGGAGGCAGCAGUGAGGAAUAUUGGUCAAUGGGUGCAAGCCUGAACCAGCCAUCCCGCGUGAAGGACGACUGCCCUAUGGGUUGUAAACUUCUUUUGUAUAGGGAUAAA